CUCUCUCUCUCUCUCUCUCUCUCUCUCUCUCUAUCUAUCUAUUUACCUAUCUAUAUAUGUGUGUAUGUGUGUGCGUGCGUGUGUGUGUACAACAAAACACACACACACCCAUCUCUAUGUGCACACGUGUGGAACCUGACAACAACGAAUCCUAUGUAUGUGCGUGUGUGUGUACCAUAGCGAUAUAAACAUGUAAACUAUUGCCGGCAGUGUAAGGCUAAGUGAUAUAAAGACGACCCUGUGUACAUAGAUAGCUCCUCCUUGCACUGGCUGUAUAGUGUGUAUAGAUGUGAUGUUAUGGUUAAAGAAAUGCAGGCCGUUCACGAUGACUAGGCGAGGAUGCUCCGCCCCCUCUCCUCCCCCGUUCCUGAUGUACGCCAUUGGUUAAUUUGUGAUUUCCAUAGGUAAGGUUUUCCAUGUACAGCUACGGACAGAAAUAUCACCCCACCUUACUUUUAGCUCUCUGUUAUAGGUAGUCUCUCAUCCUAUAUCACACGAGGUUCCAGGAGAAUUGAGGGUAAGGAAAGAACUAGCGGAUACAUGGUAGUCUCUCAUCCUAAAUCACAUGAGGUUCCAGGAGAAUUGAGGGUAAGGAAAGAACUAGCGGAUAUAUGGUAGUCUCUCAUCCUAAAUCACAUGAGGUUCCAGGAGAAUUGAGGGUAAGGAAAGAACUAGCGGAUAUAUGGUAGUCUCUCAUCCUAUAUCACAUGAGGUUCCAGGAGAAUUAAGGGUAAGGAAAGAACUAGCGGAUAUAUGGUAGUCUCUCAUCCUAUAUCACAUGAGGUUCCAGGAGAAUUAAGGGUAAGGAAAGAACUAGCGGAUAUAUGGUAGUCUCUCAUCCUGUAUCACAUGAGGUUCCAGGAGAAUUAAGGGUAAGGAAAGAACUAGCGGAUACAUGGUAGUCUCUCAUCCUAAAUCACACGAGGUUCCAGGAGAAUUGAGGGUAAGGAAAGAACUAGCGGAUAUAUGGUAGUCUCUCAUCCUGUAUCACAUGAGGUUUCAGGAGAAUUAAGGGUAAGGAAGGAACUAGCGAAAAAGGAAAGACUUGCUACAUUUACUGACUAUAACAUAAAGGCCGAUCUCACAUAGGGUAAAAGAUUGGAGGGUGAGGAAGGGAACAAGAGUAGUGAGGACUGAACUAGAUAAGGAGAGUUACUUGCUGUGUGUAUCAAGUUUAGAAGCAAUAUUACAUAGGUAGAUGAAGGAGAAUUGAGGGAGAAGAAUGAACUAGCAAAAGAGGAGAGUAAGCUUCUGUGUGCUUAGUUUAGAAGUAAGGUGGAUCUUGAAUAAACUAGAAGACUGGAAGGUGAGAAAGGGACCAAAAGUAGUGAGGAAUGAACUAGAAAAGGAAAGUUACUUGCUGUGUGUAGUAAGUUUAGAAGCAAUAUCACAUAGGUAGAUGAAGGAGAACUGAGGGUGAAGAAUGAACUAGCAAAACAGGAGAGUAAACAGCUGCGUGUGCUUAGCUUAGAGGUAAGGUGGAUCUUGAAUAAACAAAAAGAGUGGAGGGUGAAGAAGGGAAAAAGGAAAGUGAGGGAUAAUCUUUAAAGAGGACAAGGAGAAUGACUUGCUAUGUUUAAGAGUUUUAGUAAUGUGGAGGACUUACUUAUUUCUGUCCGCAAGUGUACGUGAUUGGCUGGCGUCUUCAGAAGGGUGGUUGCUCAGUGGACUAGGGCGGGGAGCUCCUCACUAGUCAUCCUGAAGGGGCCACUAUAGGAGGUUUUGUUUGCUAUGAAAUGUUGAUAAUGUAACAAUAAUACAGUUUGUGA